CUUCUUCGAUCUGCUGCGGGCAGAUAAAGUGGAUGUGCGUGUCGAUGCCGCCGGCGGUGAGGAUCAUGCCUUCGCCGGCGAUCACUUCGCUGCUGGCACCGAUGGCGAUGGUCACGCCGGGCUGCACGUCCGGGUUGCCGGCCUUGCCGAUGGCGGCGAUGCGCCCGUCCUUGAGGCCGACGUCAGCCUUGACGAUGCCCCAGUGGUCGAUGAUCAGCGCGUUGGUGAUGACGGUGUCGACCACUUCGGCCGCCAGCAACUGACUCUGGCCCUGGCCGUCGCGGAU
rnacentral:sRNA from 1 species